GAGAGGUUUAACAACUUCCUCAGAAUCACACAGCUUCCAAAUGGUUGGGUUGGGUUUACAUUUAGGCGGUCUUGCUCCAGAGCCAGUGCUCCUAACCUUUGCAAGCCACGAACCUCAAGAAAGUGGAGAAGGAAACGCUGGGAAAUCUGGAAGUCAGACAUGCCUAGUUUAUCUCCCGGGAGCUGACUUCAUUUCUAAACGUAUAGGGGUUUCUUAGAGGAGCUUCAGAAUACUAAUCAUCGCUAGUGAGGGCACUUGGACACUUUGCUUCACCUCAGCCAGCACCUCUUUUCCCAGCUGUAAAAUGAGAGCUAAUGCUGGCAGCUGUUGGGAUGUCCUCUUCCAGGAAUGGUGAUGAGUUUCCCUGGAUCCAGCCCUGGCUUGGCUGAGGUUUUUCUCACUGUAAGAAGAGGACAAUAGCCUAUGAUCUACAGUGCCCAUUCCAACUCAGAGAAUCUUUACAUCUGGAGAUCUAUAGCAGGGCUAUCCCUAGUGACAUGCGUGAAGAAGCUUGGAAAUGGUGCUGGGUAGGAGCUGAGUGUGCAGAAUGUGGAAAGGCAUUCUAAACCAAAGGAAGAACACGAGUAAAGAUGAUGAAGCAGGGAUAAGGCUAAAAUGAAAUUUGUGAUCUGAUCCACAUACAAGCACAGUGUAGUACAGCUGGAAUAUAGAGAAGAGCUUGAAGACUUAUGAGCAACUAUCCCGGUACUCUUGGAGGCUCUGCAACCACAGUUUGAGAAACUCCGCGUUCAAAGUUAAAAACUGUCACCUGAAUAGUUAAUAACAUCAAAGAUUGUGAAAGCAAGUAUAAAUAACACAGAGAUUAAAAUAAUGAGGCAGG
rnacentral:lncRNA from 1 species